rnacentral:lncRNA from 1 species
CAUAGUCCUCAGUGGGUUUAGCCACCCAAGAGAACAAGCUCAGCCAACAGGUCUAACGAGGCACUGCAACAUGUUAGAUCAACAAUAUACAACAGAUAUAUAUUCAAUUGAAAUACAUGUCCUGCCUCACGAAAUGCAAUAUGCAAUAUCUGGAAUCAUGCAAGUAGGUUACUUUAACACUACUUAUGUUCUUAAUCAUUCUUUACUCUUUGCCAUUUGAUGGUUACUUUUAGCUCUUAGCUAUUCUUUUCUUUAGCUAUUCAUUAUUCUUUAGCCACUCUUUGUUCUUUAGCUAUUCUUUACUCUUAACAUUCUUGAACCAUGCUAUAUCUUAGCCUUUGGCAUUCUACUCUAAGGUCACUUUACCUUAGUCAACAAAGCCACCCGACUCGGUCUUGAGUCAAUCAAUCGCGGAUAGUCCGCGCACCGUCUAGCUCGAGGUGAAGGAACUCUCACAUGCACCUCAGCUGGCAACAGCUCACCGUACUCCUGUCCUAGCCGUCUGGCGGCGAACGAAUCGCACCUCACCCAACAACGGCCUAGGUUCAAUGACUUAGUCACCCGGCGGCGAAAUCGUCGCACACACGCCACGACAGUGGUUCAGUCAACAGGCGGUAGGAUCCACAAACUGGCUAACCAUCCGGCGGCGAAAUCGUCGCACACACGCCACGACAAUGGUUCUCUAGCCCCUGGGCGGCGAGAUCGUCGCACACACCCGACACCACUUUGGGUGUAGCAGCAAGCAGCGGGAUUCCGGAAUCCAUAUCACAUCAACCAAGGGUUGGUCUUAACCCUAUGGAACUGACCUCUCUAGGUCUAAGCAUUUAUCUCCUAGGUCCAAUUGACUCUAGGUUCAACAUCCUUUACACAAUCUAAGUUAUUACUUUAGGUUUAUGGCUUUCACAUUCUUAACCUAGGUUUAUUACACUAGGAUCAUCAUUCUUUUCCAACUUAGGUUCACUUAACUCUAGGUUAAGCAGCUUUCAUUUCACAACCUAUGUUCUUUACAUUAGGUUUAACAUCACUCUUAUUUAACCUAUGUUCUUUACAUUAGGUUUAGCAUCAUUCUUAUUUAACCUACGUUCAAAACUCUAGGUUAAAUGCCACUCGAUCUAUAGGUUUAUUCAUGUCCACCUAUAUAUAUUCCUUACUUAGCAUUCU